rnacentral:rRNA from 1 species
CAAUAGCGUAUAUUUAAGUUGUUGCAGUUAAAAAGCUCGUAGUUGGAUUUCGGUUAGGAGCGACCGGUCCGCCGUUUGGUGUGCACUGGUUGGUUUUAACUUCCUGUAGAGGACGUGCUCUGGGUUUAACGACCUGGACUCGGAGUCUACGUGGUUACUUUGAAAAAAUUAGAGUGUUCAAAGCGGGCUUACGCUUGAAUAUUUCAGCAUGGAAUAACACUAUAGGACUCCUGUCCUAUUUCGUUGGUCUCGGGACGGGAGUAAUGAUUAAGAGGAACAGUUGGGGGCAUUCGUAUUUCAUUGUCAGAGGUGAAAUUCUUGGAUUUAUGAAAGACGAACUUCUGCGAAAGCAUUUGCCAAGGAUGUUUNCAUUA